UACGGGGGGGGCGAGCGUUGUUCGGAAUUACUGGGCGUAAAGGGUUUGUAGGUGGUCUGCUAAGUCAGACGUGAAAUCCCUCAGCUUAACUGGGGAACUGCGUCUGAUACUGGCGGACUUGAGGACAGGAGAGGAACGCGGAAUUCCAGGUGUAGCGGUGAAAUGCGUAGAUAUCUGGAGGAACACCGGUGGCGAAGGCGGCGUUCUGGACUGUUUCUGGCACUGAAAAACGAAAGCCAGGGGAGCAAACGGG
rnacentral:rRNA from 1 species